UGGGGGAAGAGGACUUCACCUGCAAGACAUGACUCCCAUGUGGCUCUUCCUCUUCCUGCUGUCAGCUCCCAGAUGUGUCCUGUCCCAGGUGCAGCUGCAGGAGUCGGGCCCAGGACUGGUGAAGCCCUCGCAGACCCUCUCCCUCACUUGUUCUGUCUCUGGAUUCUCCAUCACAACCAGUGGUUACUGCUGGCAUUGGAUCCGCCAGCCCCCAGGGAAGAGGCUGGAGUGGAUUGCAAUUAUAUGUUAUGAUGGGAGCACUAACUACAGCCCCUCCUUCAAGAGCCGAACCUCCAUCACCAGAGAUACGUCCAAGAACCAGUUCUCCCUGCAGCUGAGCUCCGUGACCACUGAGGACAUGGCCAUGUAUUACUGUGCAAGAGGCACAGUGAGGGGAAGUCAGUGUGGUGUCCUGUCCCAGGUGCAGCUGCAAGAGUCGGGUCCAGGAUUGGUGAAGCCCUCACAGACCCUCUCCUUCACCUGCACUGUGUCCAGAGGCUCAGUCACCAUCAGUGACUACUGGAACUGGAUACGCCAGGCCCCAGGGAAAGGGUUGCAGUGGAUGGGGUACUGGUCAGGGAGCACAAGUUAUAACCCAGCCUUCCAGGGCCGCAUCUCCAUCACUGCUGACAGGGCCAGGAACCAGUUCUCCCUGCAGCUGAGCUCCGUGACAACCUAG